rnacentral:rRNA from 1 species
UACGUAGGGGGCAAGCGUUAUCCGGAUUUACUGGGUGUAAAGGGAGCGUAGACGGUAGUGCAAGUCUGGAGUGAAAGGCGGGGGCCCAACCCCCGGACUGCUCUGGAAACUGUGCGACUAGAGUGCAGGAGAGGUAAGUGGAAUUCCUAGUGUAGCGGUGAAAUGCGUAGAUAUUAGGAGGAACACCAGUGGCGAAGGCGGCUUACUGGACGGCAACUGACGCUGAGGCUCGAAAGCGUGGGGAGCAAACAGG